rnacentral:rRNA from 1 species
CCUACGGGGGGCUGCAGUAAGGAAUAUUGGUCAAUGGACGGAAGUCUGAACCAGCCAUCCCGCGUGCAGGAAGAAGGUCCUAUGGAUUGUAAACUGCUUUUAGCAGAGACGAAACGCCUUCAUUUAUGGGGGUUUGACGGUAUCUGCGGAAUAAGCACCGGCUAACUCCGUGCCAGCAGCCGCGGUAAUACGGAGGGUGCAGGCGUUAUCCGGAAUCACGGGGUUUAAAGGGUGCGUAGGCGGCAGAGUUGAAAGCCUGUAGCUUAACUACAGAAGUGCCAUUGAUACUGAUGUUCUUGAAUUGGGUUGAGGUUAGCGGAAUGUGACAUGUAACGGUGAAAUGUUUAGAUAUGUCAUGGAACACCGAUUGCGAAGGCAGCUAGCUGGGCCUUGAUUGACGCUGAGGCACGAAAGCGUGGGUAGCGAACAGGAUUAGAUACCCGAGUAGUC